rnacentral:rRNA from 1 species
GACAGAGGGUGCAAACGUUGUUCGGAAUUACUGGCGUAAAGCGAGUGUAGGCGGUUUGGUAGGUCGGAUGUGAAAGCCCCGGGCUCAACCCGGGAAGUGCACUCGAUACUGCCAAGCUAGAGUAUCGGAGAGGUUGGUGGAAUUCUCGGUGUAGAGGUGAAAUUCGUAGAUAUCGGGAGGAACACCAGUGGCGAAGGCGGUUGCCUGGGGCUUUGGCUGACGCUGAUGCGCGAAAGCGUGGGGAAGCGAGUC